AGGAAGCAUUGCUGGAGCGCAGGAGGACGGCGGCGCCGCUGGCUUGUGGCUCCGGGAGGGAAAGGAUGGACGCGCAGAGCCAUAAGAGAGCGCCACGGGAACUUCUCGGAUGUGCCCGGAGGAUCCGGUGUGGAUUUUGGAAAGGCAAAAGGUUCAAGGACUGCUUUGUUGAACUUCCCUCCUAUCGUUCUGAAUUCCAACUCGCUGUGUCAUCGUGAGGCGACAUUAUCAGCACACAUGGCGAAAAGGAUUUCAUUGAGUGAAGAGCUACUUGGUAGUUUCCUAGGCAACUAGCUGCAAAAUAAUUAAAAAGACAGAAGGCCGUUACAAGAGGCAACAGGUUGUGUAGUCUUCUCUUCCCCUACUUCGUUUUGUUUGGUUUUGUUUCCCCUCAAGAACAUAUUCAUCUUUUACCACUUCAACUCUGAUUAAAGUCCUUAUGAUCUGCCUGGGAACUUUGAGGUUGAGCCAUGUGGUUUGAUUACAGAAAGUAGAAUUGGACAGGAUCUCAUAAGUCCUCCCAUCACAUGUUCUUGGAGGAACAGGAAUUCCUCCUAAAUCAUCUCCGUUGAAAAUAACUAUCUCCACAUGAUCUGUAAUGGUGGGAUCACUCUUUGAUAUUGGACUCGAAAUGGUCUCAGGUCCGCUGUUGCUCCUGCGUUAUGGAUCCAAGACCAUUUAAAACCGCGCCAACCAGAUGUUUCUUCAGACUGCCCUGUCCUGAGAGAUUCCCAGCGAUGGCGGAUUCUGCAGCUAUGCCGACGCAGUUCGUUCCAGGGCUCCAUCAUCCUUACAGUUCAGAAGUUCUUCCUAAUAAUGUCCAAGCUAAACAAGCUGAUGGUAUCUUGUCUGCAGUUGGACUGAAGAUCAACUGAUCUGCAUUCCCUUUAAGGCAAUCCCAUAUGUAUUUGUUUGCUAUUUUCUUCGAGGCUUGUCUUUCCCAAACUGAGCAAUCCCAGCUCCUUCAGACUUCGCUCAUAAUGGCCACUUGCUGCUGCUAUAAGGGCAUACAGGAGUAUAUGUCAUCAUAUGCCUGUUUCGAAGGUCAUCCAUAGUGAUGCGACCAGCAGAGGGGCAAGUGUGUGUGUGUGUGUUUUAAUAUGGCAGCCCAAUGGACCAAGUACUCACUUGCAACUUGUCAGAGAGAUGACUACCGUUUGUGGAGUGUGAAUAAGCAGGACUUUAACCUAUGUCUGCUCGUGACUGCUCAGGCGACAUGGCUGAAGUUCACUAUGCAAGCAAACUAAGGCGCUUUAGAGUUCAACCUGUUCGGGACCUCAUGGAAAACGUUGCAUCUCUCAUCAGGAUCCCUUCCCCAAAAGGCCUGUGCCAGCUGGAGAGGUUCUUUGGCAGUUUUCGGCUUCGGUGAAGAUCACGAGAACAGAUAUUUCGCCUAGAAUGAAAUUCGUACCUCGGGCAGAGUCGGGAGCCAGCAGAGAAAAGGAGAGAGCAAAUGGAUUUGGUGCCUGAGAUGAAAUGAACUCCCAGCCUACUGUGGGCGUUGUGAGAAUCAAGUAGCUUGGCCGGAUUGGUGCAGAUGUUCCCCUCGUGAGGAUUCUUUGUGCCAAAUCAAGCAAUGCUGCAAAGGAGCCAGAUGCUACUGGUGGAGUGAUGCCAUUUUUUCUUGCGGAUUUUCAGCCUGGGCUUUUAUUUCAGAAAUGGAGACAUUUGUAGUUCAUUAGUCAACACAGCUCGAAUAAUUAGUGCAUCGGGAGGAGAAGAUGGGGGAAGAGGUGGGCCAUUGACUACGAGCACCCCGUGGCAGGUGGUUGGGACAGCUUUGUUCUCAAAUCUGUGAAAUGGGAAUGAAAGUGGAACCUGUCUCAGAGGCUUCUUGAGAGGGCAGAUGAAAUAAGAAGGUGCCUUGGGAAUAAGGCACGCUUUGUGUCAACAAGAUUCAAGGUGGUAUACAAUUUUUCCGAGCUGGCAUUUUCUUUCCAUGGAUGGCGCCAGAGGGCAGCAAAGUUAGGCAGUUGAGGAUGGCCCACAUCCAUUCAGGCGAUCACAAACUGAGGACCACUGCUUCCAUCUUGGUUCUUUGCUGAUGUAGUGUCAAACCAGGUAGGAGACAGCUCUCUCUCUCCCUCCCUCUCCUUCCAACCUGCCCAGCCCAGUGUCAACAGAGAAUAUGCCUCAGAGUCCCAUAUUUAUUUAUUAUUUAUUUAUUUAUUGCAUUUAUAUACCUCCCCAUAGCCGAAGCUCUCUGGGCAGUUUACAAAAGUUAAAAACAGUAAACAUUAAAAACAAUUAUACAAAGUUUAAAAACAUAAAAAGCAUGAAAACAACAGCAUCCUUAUAAAAACAGCUAUUCUGGGGUCCGUUAAAAACCAACUCAGCAUAUGUUAUUAAAUGCUAUUAAAUGCCUGGGAGAAGAGAAAGCUCUUAACCUGGUGCCGAAAAGAUAAUGUUGGCGCCAGGUGAGCCUCGUUGGGGAGAUCAUUCCAUAAUUGGGUGUGUGUGUGUGUGUCGCCACUGAAGAGGCCCUCUCUCUUGUUGCCAUCCUCCAAGCUUCCCUCGGAGUAGACACUCGGAGGAGGACCUUAGAUGUAGAGUGCAGUGAGCUUCCAACCGAAAAUAAACACCAAGGAUGUCAGCAGAAAGAGUAUUUAUUAUAAGAAAACAGAAGAGAGAGAAACCAGGUUAAGAAAAGAGCAAUACGAGCCAGCACAGUUACAUGUACCUAACUUUGGUGGUGGCCAUUAGGAUGGAGGAACAAGGUAGGUUUUGAGAUGGGACUAGAAGGAAAAGAGAAUGGUGGCAUAGAUGUUUGGGGAGGGAAUGUCUUUCCUUCCCCACAGGGCAGGACUUGAUCUAAUGCACUUAAGGUACAGGAGGAUAAGAGUUUGGUUGAACAUUAGGAAAACCUUGUUGAUGGUAAGAGCAGUUGGACGAUGAGACCAAUUAUCUAGAGACGAGGCGUGCUCUUCCAUCACUGGAAGUCUUCCAGAAGAGGCAGGACAGUGUGGGGAGGCAGUAGGGUGCCCUGGGACACCUUUCUUGGCACUCACCAAGGUGCCCUUACUCCCCUCAAUUUUUGUGGCCCUUUUUUUUUUUUAGAAACAACUUUUCUUACAGGCAGAUAGGAUUGCUCCAAAGCAAAGUGAGGGCCUUUGGCCCCCUGCCACCUUCCUCUCCCAUUCAUGCCUCUGGCCCCACAUGGGGCUCAGGGACAUUCUUAGGCAAUGAAGAGCCGGGGCGGCUGCAGGCUGAUGCAUUCUCCUGCUGCAUGCCCAGUCAGCAAGAAAAGGAAUGAGGAGGGAUGGAGAGAAAAAGGGACCCCUGUCUUUUGGGCAGGUUACUUGACCUAAGGGAUGAGCCACACAUCACAGAGCAGCCGUUCCAUGGCGGUGUCCAGGGAAAUUUCUCAAACAGUCAAAUAGUUGCCUAUCCCUGCUGUACACCCAUCUGUACAGAUGCUCUAGCUCUGGACUUCCUGCAAGACUGUGGAUGAUACAACCCUCUAGCUCAGGG